rnacentral:rRNA from 1 species
GGACGGGUGAGUAAUACGUAGGUAUCUGCCCUGUAGUGGGGGAUAACCCGGGGAAACUCGGGCUAAUACCGCAUACGCUCUUUUAUUGUUGAGAUAGGAGAGGAAAGCGAGGGACCGAAAGGCCUCGCGCUAGAGGAUGAGCCUACGUCCGAUUAGCUAGUUGGUAGGGUAAAGGCCUACCAAGGCGACGAUCGGUAGCUGGUCUGAGAGGAUGGCCAGCCACACUGGGACUGAGACACGGCCCAGACUCCUACGGGAGGCAGCAGUGGGGAAUAUUGGACAAUGGGGGAAACCCUGAUCCAGCGAUGCCGCGUGGGUGAAGAAGGCCUGCGGGUUGCAAAGCCCUUUCAGUGGGGAAGAAAAACGGGGUGUGAACAGCGCCUCGUCUUGACGUUACGCCACAGAAGAAGCACCGGCUA